ACUCCUACGGGAGGCAGCAGUGGGGAAUAUUGCACAAUGGGCGCAAGCCUGAUGCAGCCAUGCCGCGUGUGUGAAGAAGGCCUUCGGGUUGUAAAGCACUUUCAGUCGUGAGGAAGGCGGGUACGUUAAUAGCGUAUUCGUUUGACGUUAGCGACAGAAGAAGCACCGGCUAACUCCGUGCCAGCAGCCGCGGUAAUACGGAGGGUGCGAGCGUUAAUCGGAAUUACUGGGCGUAAAGCGCAUGCAGGUGGUUUGUUAAGUCAGAUGUGAAAGCCCGGGGCUCAACCUCGGAAUAGCAUUUGAAACUGGCAGACUAGAGUACUGUAGAGGGGGUAGAAUUUCAGGUGUAGCGGUGAAAUGCGUAGAGAUCUGAAGGAAUACCGGUGGCGAAGGCGGCCCCUGGACAGAUACUGACACUCAGAUGCGAAAGCGUGGGAGCAAACAGGAUUAGAUACCCCGUGGUAGGACAG
rnacentral:rRNA from 1 species